rnacentral:tRNA from 1 species
GCGGGCGUGGUGGAAUUGGCAGACACGCCAGACUUAGGAUCUGGAGCUUUACCGCGUGGAGGUUCGAGUCCUCUCGCCCGCA